rnacentral:rRNA from 1 species
AGAGUUUGAUCCUGGCUCAGAACGAACGUUAGCGGCGCGCUUAACACAUGCAAGUCGAACGAGAAAGUACCUUCGGGUACGAGUACAGUGGCGCACGGGUGAGUAACACGUGGGUAAUCUAUCCUUUUGGUGGGGGACAACAUCCUGAAAGGGGUGCUAAUACCGCAUAAGUCCACUUCGGUGGGGAAAGGUGGCUUUGGCUAUCGCCAGAGGAUGAGCCCGCGGCCCAUCAGCUUGUUGGUAGGGUAAUGGCCUACCAAGGCAUCGACGGGUAGCUGGUCUGAGAGGAUGAUCAGUCACACUGGAACUGAGACACGGUCCAGACUCCUACGGGAGGCAGCAGUGGGGAAUAUUGCGCAAUGGGCGAAAGCCUGACGCAGCGACGCCGCGUGGGUGAUGAAGGUUUUCGGAUCGUAAAGCCCUGUGGGAGAGGGAAGAACAACUAGUAGGAACAAUACCCUAUUAGCCUGACGGUACCUUUCCAGAAAGCACCGGCUAACUCCGUGCCAGCAGCCGCGGUAAUACGGAGGGUGCAAGCGUUAUCCGGAUUUAUUGGGUUUAAAGGGUGCGCAGGCGGACUAUUAAGUCAGUGGUGAAAUCCCGGGGCUCAACCUCGGAACUGCCAUUGAUACUGAUAGUCUUGAGUUUGGUUGAAGUAGGCGGAAUGUAGCAUGUAGCGGUGAAAUGCAUAGAUAUGCUACAGAACACCAAUCGCGAAGGCAGCUUACUAAGCCAAAACUGACGCUCAUGCACGAAAGCGUGGGGAGCAAACAGGAUUAGAUACCCUGGUAGUCCACGCCGUAAACGAUGAUCACUCGUUGUUGGCGAUACACAGUCAGCGACCAAGGGAAACCGAUAAGUGAUCCACCUGGGGAGUACGAUCGCAAGGUUGAAACUCAAAGGAAUUGACGGGGGCCCGCACAAGCGGUGGAGCAUGUGGUUUAAUUCGAUGAUACGCGAGGAACCUUACCUGGGCUCAAAUGUAAGUUGACAUGACCUGAAAGGGUUUUUUCUUCGGACAAUUUACAAGGUGCUGCAUGGUUGUCGUCAGCUCGUGCCGUGAGGUGUCGGGUUAAGUCCCAUAACGAGCGCAACCCCUACUCUUAGUUGCCAGCAUGUAAUGAUGGGGACUCUAGGAGAACUGCCUACGCAAGUAGAGAGGAAGGUGGGGAUGACGUCAAAUCAGCACGGCCCUUACGUCCAGGGCUACACACGUGCUACAAUGGCCGGUACAGAGGGCAGCCACCUGGUGACAGGGAGCGAAUCUCGAAAGCCGGUCUCAGUUCGGAUCGAAGUCUGCAACCCGACUUCGUGAAGCUGGAAUCGCUAGUAAUCGCGCAUCAGCCAUGGCGCGGUGAAUACGUUCCCGGGCCUUGUACACACCGCCCGUCAAGCCAUGGAAGCUGGGGUACCUGAAGUCGGUUACCGUAAGGAUCCGCCUAGGGUAAAACUAGUAACUGGGGCUAAGUCGAAACAAGGUA